rnacentral:lncRNA from 1 species
GUAGCUAGGCUUGCAUGUUCUAAAAACUCAGCUGCUAAUUGAGCAGCAGAGGUAGCAUCCUUAAAUUUCAUGUUCCAAUUCUGCAUGCCAAAAGAAAAAUUACCAAUACCAUCUCCAGGAAAUGAUUGCCCAUGUUCUAACCUUUCAUCCUUGAAACCUAAGUGGCAUGAAGCAUCAUCAUCAACACAAUAUUGCCUUGAAAGUUCUACAACAGCUCUGGCACCUAGGCUUACCUGUUCUGCAAACUCAGCCACUGCUUGAGCAGCAGAGGUAGCAUCUAUAAAUUUCAUGUUCCAAUUCUGCCUGCCAUAGAAAAAUUACCAUCUCCAGGAAAUGAUUGCUCAUGUUGCAACCUUUCAUCCUUAAUACCUAAGUGGUAUGAACCACCAUCAUCAACACAAUAUUGCCUUGAAAGUUCUGCAACAGCUCUGGCAGCUAGGCUUGCAUGUUCUGCAAACUCAACCGUUGCUUGAGCAGCAGAGGUAGCAUCCUUAAAUUUCAUGUUCCAAUUCUGCCUGCCAACAUAAAAAUUACCAUUACCAUUUCAAGGAAAUGAUUGCCUAUGUUCCAACGUUUCAUCCUUGAAACCUUAGUGGCAUGAACCACCAUCAUCAACACAAUAUUGCCUUGAAAGUUCUACAACAGCUCUGGCAGCUAGGCUUGCAUGUUCUGCAAACUCAGCCGCUGCUUGAGCAGCAGAGGUAGCAUCCUUAAAUUUCAUGUUCCAAUUCUUCCUGCCAACUGAAAAAUUACAAUUACCAUCUCUAGGAAAUGAUUGCCCAUGUUCCAACCUUUCAUCUUUGAAACCUAAGUGGCAUGAACCACUAUCAUCAACACAAUAUUGCCUUGAAAGUUCUACAACAGCUCUGGCAACUUGGCUUUCAUGUUCUGCAAACUCAGCUGCUGCUUGAGCAGCAGAGGUAGCAUCCUUAAAUUUCAUGUUCCAAUUCUGCCUCCCAAUAGAAAAAUUACCAUCUCCAGGAAAUGAUUGCCCAUAUUCCAACCUUUAAUCCUUGAAACCUAAGUGGCAUGAACCACCAUCAUCAACACAAUAUUGCAUUGAACGCCCUACAACAGCUCUGGCAGCUAGGCUUGUAUGUUCUGCAAACACAGCCGUUGCUCGAGGAACAGAGGUAGCAUCCUUAAAUUUCAUGUUCCAAUUCUGCCUGCCAACAGAACAAUUACCAUUACCAUUUCCAGGAAAGGAUUGCCCAUGUUCCAACCUUUCAUCCUUGAAACAUAAGUGGCAUGAACCACCAUCAUCAAUAAAAUAUUACCUUGAAAGUUCGACAACAACUCUGGCAGCUAGGCUUGCAUGUUCUGCGAAGUCAACCGCUGCUUG